rnacentral:rRNA from 1 species
AUGGCGCUGAGCCCGAGCGGACUGAAGAAGAUGGGGGAGCUCCACCUCGCCGACCGGUUCACCUGCACGGCGUGGGCCAACAUGCUGGCGCAGUAUGGGUGGGCGCUGCGGCCCAAGAUGCACUACACGAACCCUCUCUCCGUGCGGCAGCUGGACUACCUCCGGUACCAGACGAUUUGUGAUUGUGGCCACACGGCUGGGCAGGGCUGA